CACACACCCUCUGAACACAUGCACCACACACACACACACACACACACACACACACACACACACACACACACACACACACACACACACACACACACACACACACACACACACACACACACACACACACACACACACACACACACCCGAGAGGCGCAAAGACUGUACGGAAAACCGCGCGACUCGACGGAACAAUCUGCUCACGGAUGCAUCGUUGCCGCUAUUUCCAAUCAAUUUUUUCUAUUGUUUUAAAGAAAAGGAAAACAACUCAAAAAUAUAGAUCCACUGAGCCAGAAUUUUAAAAAAGAUUUAUUUCCAACUGUACAUAUGUGUAGAAAACAGUUAACUGUUAUUUUAUCUUCUCUCUCUUUUAAAAAAAACACUGAUUUCCGCUUGAGUCUUGGAAACGUCUUAAACAUGUUUGUAUGUUAGAGCAUGCAACUUGUCUCCUGUAUCCUCCGACUAAACGUGGAGCCUUGUGUCCAAGGCCCGCAUAUCUCUGCACUAGAAGCGAUCCAAUUGGGCAAAACAUUUUAUUUAUGUACCUUCAAGGACUUGGGAUCUGUUCAUCCUAGAGAUAUACAAUGCACAUUUGAUUGGACAAGUCUCUUAUACUUAAAUAGCUAAACGAGGAAUGCAUUUGCUGCUAAAACUCUAUGCACAAACCCGAUACUUAUUAACUUAUUUUGUAUUAUUAUGAUGACAUGAUUAAAAAAAUGUACAGUCUUCGAACAUAAUUAGGUCUACGGAUCCUUGUCUUAAGUUAUUCAUAUCUCAGAGCAGAACAGGGGUCUUUGAAAAGAUUAAAUUGGAGAGAUUAUGGUUCAAGUUAAAAUAUCUCAUGUCAAAACCGAAAUAAAUGUUAUCCCUGUUUCGUGUGAUCAACUGCCUAUAUAUGUGCGAUAUUGUGCAGAAGUAUAAUGCGCAGAUCUGUGGGACACACAAAAAUUAAAUCUGAUCAACGAGGAAAGUUUUGAUCAUAUGGAAUAUAUUACCUCAAAUAAUUAAAAUGACAAAUGUAUCAGUGGAUCGGAUUCGACCACUGAGUAGGAAUUGGUUCAUCAAAUGACAAAGACUUACAUUACGCACGACAUGAGUUUUUAAUCUUCAGACCCAUUUUCCUUCAUAUUAAUUUGCCAUUCGUUUGGAAAUUCGUUUCUUUGUGGGGUUUCUAAGCGGAAAAACGUUGGCCUAUUCGGAUUAGUACGGCAGAGAGCAACACUCGUGCACAGUGCUGUUGAUGUAUAUCUGUACAUAUGAUUUCUAUAUUUAUUCAAGAAACGUGUCCUUACGUCCGAAUGUGUCGAUAAGCUAUAAACUUAAAAAUUUGGAAUGUUGUUGAGAAUCUUGUUUUCAUAAUGUUUAAUAAAAAGUUCUGUCCGAAAUGAA
ensembl:lncRNA